UAUCUGGAAGCACUGUCUCGUGUACAAUUGCUAAUGCUAUCUCUGAAAUGUCUAACAAAAUGUUGACUUGAUGGUUUCAUCAAGACCUUCUCAUCACAAGUUGGAACUAGUGGUCAACAUUGGGACAAUGCAGCCAUAAAUAACAUGGACCAAUAUUUUCAUGGAGUGAGCAAGACCUGCCAGCAGAGCUCACUGGAGCAGGGAGACAUGCCGUCAUCCUUUUGGCGCCUGACAAAAUCAUCACAGCAGCUGAUGUUGCUGUACAGAGGAAGGAGAUCCUCC